AGGUCAUGGUCAGUGGGACCUCCAAAGGAGGCACCCCAUUCAAAUUGGAGGCUCUGCAGGAGAGGGCAGCCAGGGCGCAGAGUUCGAAGGCACUCUUGGGGGAGGAGAAGGUGCUGGUGGUGGACAACAUCAUGGCAUGGUCCAGGUGGUGGUUGAGGAGAAGCCUGACAUGGAGCCUGGUGGAGGACCAGCAGACAGCCUGGCCCUGGAUCCAGCACACCCCAGCCAGCCACAGACUCGCUGGAGGCCCUUCACUUGAAGCAGAGUUCCAUGAAUAACCAGUCCACAUGGCCUGCCCACAGCUGAGAUGUAAGCUUUGGCAGAGGUGCCUUCCCAGCCUGGAUGGCACAGGGGCCAUCAGCCAGGGCAUCUCCAGCUUCUGGGCCAUUGUGCAGCACACCUACAUGUCGGCAGAGUUCAGAAACCAUGAGGAAGUCCUGCUAAGUUUCUUCUUGGCAUGGCAGGUGGAGGAACUCAGCCAUCCCAGGUACCGGCAGCAGGAUGAAGUGUUCCUUUUGUCACAACCUUUAUUUCCACAAUAAAGUGAUCAUUAAGGAAUAUCGUGUUCACAUCAAUCCCCUGCAGCACUACCUAAGGAUUAGGUCCUCAGAGAGGGAACAGAG
rnacentral:lncRNA from 1 species